CCUACGGGAGGCAGCAGUGAGGAAUAUUGGUCAAUGGGAGAGAUCCUGAACCAGCCAAGCCGCGUGAGGGAAGACGGCCCUAUGGGUUGUAAACCUCUUUUGUCGGAGAACAAAAACCGGGACGCGUCCCGCCCCGAGAGUACCCGGAGAAAAAGCAUCGGCUAACUCCGUGCCAGCAGCCGCGGUAAUACGGAGGAUGCGAGCGUUAUCCGGAUUUAUUGGGGUUAAAGGGUGCGCAGGCGGUACGUGAAGUCAGCGGUAAAAUUGCGAGGCUCAACCCCUUCCAGCCGUUGAAACUGCGAGACUUGAGUGGGCGAGAAGUACGCGGAAUGCGCGGUGUAGCGGUGAAAUGCAUAGAUAUCGCGCAGAACUCCGAUUGCGAAGGCAGCGUACCGGCGCCAGACUGACGCUGAGGCACGAAAGCGUGGGGAUCGAACAGGAUUAGAUACCCUUGUAGUC
rnacentral:rRNA from 1 species